ACUGAUUGAGCCACCCAGGCACCGCUGAGGCCUUAUCAUUUUUAUGUCUCAAGUACACUCUUCUCUACUGAAAGUUACUUUCAAUUAAAACCAAGGUUAUAAACCAAGAAAAGGAAGGCAACAUGGAAUACAAGAAACAGAAGAUCAACACAAAAGAGGGAAAUACAAUAGGUUCUUGUGUCCACUGCUGAUUUGGGAACAUGUCCUCUGCUUGUCAAGGUUUGUCUCAUGCCAUAGUCACAAGCUCUAUGUGACCAGAGCCAACAUUUCCCGGAUCAACACACUUUGAAGUGGAACGCAUUUUCAACAAUCUUUUUCAAAGAGGGAGGAGUCUCCAUCUCACCUUUCAAAGAGUGGAACAUUUGCUUUGAUUUGGGAAUGGUAACGUUUCAUCCCCUGCCUGCCUGCCUGCUGCAGAAAGCUGCAUAUCACAAAACAAGAAAUGCCACUGGAGGAUUCAGCCUCCAGGCUAGAUGCUCUUUAUCCAGUCCAACCCAGCAAUUCCCACCAAGCAGAGGCAACCUCAUCAUGGCCUGUUCCAUCUGCCUCUACUCUUGGAAAAUGUUAAAACUUUGCAGAGGCUUAAUGAACCAUGUCCUGCCCUGAGAAACAGUUUUGUUACUGCUUUGCACAGAAAUGAAACAAAUGGAAUAAAAACAGGAGUGGAUCCUCUGAGUCACAGGAUGUCGGUGAAGAGCUCUUACUAAAUUGAGAACUUAAAUAGUAAUUCAUUGAAUGGACAGAAAAGGUAUUUGAAGUCAAGGUCCUCAUCUGCACCAAUGAACUAUGUGACCUUGAGUAAGUUACUGAACUCUUCUGGGCCUCUGUUUCCAUACCUCUAAAAUGGGAAUAAUAAUUUCUAUUCUCACUUCCUUUCAAGACUGAUAAAAGGACGAGAUGACAGGUGGAAAAGCACUUUAUAAAUCUAAAGAAGACCAACAGAUAUUCCAAAAUAGAGGAAAGCCCCCAAAAUCACUCGUAUUGAGAACGUGAAACAAGUAAGUUCCUUUGCAACAAUCUGUUCUUCUAAAUGAAUAUUAAAUUUAACAUUUCCUGAGUAUGUUUAUGUGUUUCAAGAUCAAGUUCCUAGAACUGGAAAAAAACAACAGGAGGAAAGACAGCUCGUGAUUCAAAUUUUCCAACAAAACCUCCAAAAAAAUAGAUAACCAAGUUUGCUCAUUUAUACGCUCAUGCAUUCCUUCUAUAAGCAACCAUUCAAUUCCACAACUGGUUAACGAACACCUACUAUGCUCUAAGUACUGUGCUAGGCACUGUGGAUGCAACAGGGAUAAAGGCAGCCCUGAUCCCAGCUCCUGUGGACCUAACAUUAAAGUAUUUUUUGAAAUGCAAGAAUGAAUCAGACAUGAUUUCCUCCCUGAAACAGUUAUAAACUAGUAGAAAAGGAAGUGGUCAUAAAACAAAACUGAAUCAUUUUCAGAGGCCUCUGCUUUUAGAAACAGGAGGAGAUGAAUGGGUCACAUCAAUUCUCUCUUUCUCCUGAAUCAGCAAAGAGCACCAAUACCAGCAUAUAGACAUGCUUUAUUUUAGUAGCUUUUGUCUUAAACCCUCCCUUGCCCUCACUUCCUUUCACAGCAGAACUUCUUUCAGGACUUGUCUCCUUUUCUUCCUUUUAGGUGCCCUCCUCAAACCAGUUCAUUGAGGAUUCUCUCCCCACCACUCUAUCGAGACUAUUCUUGGCAAGACCACCAAUGGUCUCCAACUUGACAAGUUAAGGGGUCACUGAAUUCAGUGGUCAAUAUAUUGCAUCGAUAUUUUGCUAAAUUUACUUCAAGAUUUUGAAGUCUACAAUUGUGUCUUAAAAACAUCUCUUUUCUCAUGGAGAGUCAAUCCUAGUUUAUUGAGCAUUACCUCAAACACAGUAGAGAGAAUGUCAGUGGUGAGAGAGGGCCAAGCACAUCGUCUGCAAGCGGGGGUAGAGAGUAGGGGGAGAAAACUCAGAGAUGAAACGAAACAUUGAAAUGUGGCCUGCCAUCUGAGUGAGUGAUGUGCACAUGCUGUUCUCAGUCCAUUCCAGUAACAUGGUUCUAUGAAUCAUAGAUGGGAUGAUGGGAAGUAGGUGGUAAUUUUAGGUUCCGCUUCGUUCAUUUUAUUAAGAGUCAUGGGAAUGGUGAGCCUGAACCUCUCCAGCCAGCCGAAGUGUGUAGAAGCAGCACAGUUUGCUGUCCCCACCAUUUCCACCUCCUAGACACCUCUCUCACCCACCGGGACACCAUGUAAAGGCGGACCUUGCUUCCCAGGGAGCCAGCGGGAGAGCACUCUAACGGCAAAACAGCAGUGCUAUAGCAGCCAGGAGACGCUGUCCAGGAGAGAGGGGAGAUCUCAGUGUGAUAAGGGAAAACUCAGCUUGCGUCACUUACAGCCACGAGGCCCCUGUCAGUCUGAUCCAGCUAUUAUGUCAAAACACAUCUGCUCCUGCCCAGAAUGCCCCAGUGCAGUCCUCAUCCAUCUCCAUCUGUAGGAACCAAAGCUAUCUUGCAUUCUCAGCAGCAACAUGUUUAUAACAGAAAUAUUAAGUAGGGCGAGAUGAUAAGAAGCUUUUACCCACAUUUCCAGAAAGAUACUGGGAAAUACGCUAUGAGAACAAUCCUUGCUUAUGUGUGACAAAGACCAAAAAAAAUCUCAGAGCUAUGAUUUAGAAAUGACGGCCUUCCCCAUGGGGAGAAAGUUCGUGAGCCUCCGCAGAUGACCGGGGUUGCAAAUGGAGACGUCUCUACCACUCUAAAAGCCUGCUCCUGCUCUUUAUAACAAGCCACACGCAGCCUGGAGUGACUGCCCCAAAGAACACAUUCAGAAUCGGGAUCACUGGACUUUGAUUGCGCCAACAGAUGGCAAGGUGUUUACAGGUUAGCAGGAGUAUCAUAGGCCAGGCCCGAGUCCAAAGAGCCAGGCACAUGAGGCACCGUGUUCCUUCUUGUAUUUCUCACAGCUCGGAGAAGGGCAGUCUAUCAUUUUUCUGAGAGUUACAUUCACCAGCCUGACCUAAGAAUGUAGAAAUGAAAAGCUAAAUGGGAGAGCCCUGCACAGUCAUUGAUUUUUCACAAGCAGCCAUGACCCUGGGUUUAGAAAAUAUUUUUCAAAUCAUAGAGCCAUAGAUCUGUUAGGAACCUGGAGUAAAGGUUAUCUAUCCUACAGAGAACGCACAACACUUGUUGUACUGGAUGGAGAUCCUGGUCUCUAUCUCCUUCCCUAUAAGAGGUUCUAUGCCAGCCUUCAUGGCUUCUCAGUCAAAAGGCGCCACAUCCUAAUUUCAGCCCCUCUUCCCACACACAGGUAAAACCUACCGCCUCAAGAUCUCUUCUCCAUAUAAACGUAUUUUAUUUAUUAGAAGACAUUCAUUUUUCAUCUAUGAUUU